UACGUAGGGUCCAAGCGUUAAUCGGAAUUACUGGGCGUAAAGCGUGCGCAGGCGGCUUUGCAAGACAGAUGUGAAAUCCCCGGGCUCAACCUGGGAACUGCAUUUGUGACUGCAAGGCUAGAGUACGGUAGAGGGGGAUGGAAUUCCGCGUGUAGCAGUGAAAUGCGUAGAUAUGCGGAGGAACACCGAUGGCGAAGGCAAUCCCCUGGACCUGUACUGACGCUCAUGCACGAAAGCGUGGGGAGCAAACAGG
rnacentral:rRNA from 1 species